rnacentral:rRNA from 1 species
GAUGAACGCUGGCGGCGUGCCUAAUACAUGCAAGUCGAGCGAACAGACGAGGAGCUUGCUCCUCUGACGUUAGCGGCGGACGGGUGAGUAACACGUGGAUAACCUACCUAUAAGACUGGGAUAACUUCGGGAAACCGGAGCUAAUACCGGAUAAUAUAUUGAACCGCAUGGUUCAAUAGUGAAAGACGGUUUUGCUGUCACUUAUAGAUGGAUCCGCGCCGCAUUAGCUAGUUGGUAAGGUAACGGCUUACCAAGGCAACGAUGCGUAGCCGACCUGAGAGGGUGAUCGGCCACACUGGAACUGAGACACGGUCCAGACUCCUACGGGAGGCAGCAGUAGGGAAUCUUCCGCAAUGGGCGAAAGCUUGACGGAGCAACGCCGCGUGAGUGGUGAAGGUCUUCGGAUCGUAAAACUCUGUUAUUAGGGAAGAACAAAUGUGUAAGUAACUAUGCACGUCUUGACGGUACCUAAUCAGAAAGCCACGGCUAACUACGUG